rnacentral:rRNA from 1 species
CCUACGGGUGGCAGCAGUGGGGAAUAUUGGACAAUGGGGGGAACCCUGAUCCAGCGACGCCGCGUGAGUGAAGAAGUAUUUCGGUAUGUAAAGCUCUAUCAGCAGGGCAGAAAGAAAUGACGGUACCUGACUAAGAAGCCCAGGCUAACUACGUGCCAGCAGCCGCGGUAAUACGUAGGGGGCAAGAGUUAUCCGGAUUGACUGGGUGUAAAGGGAGCGUAGACGGCGAUGCAAGUCUGAAGUGAAAGGCGGGGGCCCAACCCCCGGACUGCUUUGGAAACUGUAUGGCUGGAGUGCAGGAGAGGUAAGUGGAAUUCCUAGUGUAGCGGUGAAAUGCGUAGAUAGUAGGAGGAACACCAGUGGCGAAGGCGGCUUACGGGACUGUAACUGACAUUGAUGCUCGAAAGUGUGGGUAUCAAACAGGAUUAGAUACCCGAGUAGUC